rnacentral:rRNA from 1 species
UNUGACUUGAGUGCAGAAGGGGAGAGUGGAAUUCCAUGUGUAGCGGUGAAAUGCGUAGAUAUAUGGAGGAACACCAGUGGCGAAAGCGGCUCUCUGGUCUGUCACUGACGCUGAGGCUCGAAAGCGUGGGUAGCGAACAGGAUUAGAUACCCUGGUAGUNCACGCCGUAAACGAUGAGUGCUAGGUGUUAGGCCCUUUCCGGGGCUUAGUGCCGGAGCUAACGCAAUAAGCACUCCGCCUGGGGAGUACGACCGCAAGGUUGAAACUCAAAGGAAUUGACGGGGGCCCGCACAAGCGGUGGAGCAUGUGGUUUAAUUCGAAGCAACGCGAAGAACCUUACCAGGUCUUGACAUCCCGAUGCUAUUCUUAGAGAUAGGAAGUUACUUCGGUACAUCGGAGACAGGUGGUGCAUGGUUGUCGUCAGCUCGUGUCGUGAGAUGUUGGGUUAAGUCCCGCAACGAGCGCAACCCUUAUUGUUAGUUACCAUCAUUAAGUUGGGCACUCUAGCGAGACUGCCGGUAAUAAACCGGAGGAAGGUGGGGAUGACGUCAAAUCAUCAUGCCCCUUAUGACCUGGGCUACACACGUGCUACAAUGGUCGGUACAACGAGUUGCGAGCCGGUGACGGCAAGCUAAUCUCUGAAAGCCGAUCUCAGUUCGGAUUGGAGGCUGCAACUCGCCUCCAUGAAGUCGGAAUCGCUAGUAAUCGCGGAUCAGCACGCCGCGGUGAAUACGUUCCCGGGCCUUGUACACACCGCCCGUCACACCACGAGAGUUUGUAACACCCGAAGUCGGUG